ACUGUUUUGCCGGUAGUCGUGGUAAUACUAUGAAAAUUUAGAUGCCAAUCACCAUAUAAGUUCAACGAUGAAAAAGCCUGGAAGGAGGAGAGAUGACUAGAAACGAUUCAGUUGGCCUUUUUAUUUGUGGAUUAAUUGGCGGAGUAGAGGAGCUUGUGCAUUUCAGGAUUAGUGCUGUCAGGAGAAGCUUCUGCCCUGUAUUUAUUACCCCGCCUGUGGGUGUGAGGAGGGAAGGAGGAGGGAAGGAGGGGAGCGUCCGUGACCCCCAGCCAGGCCCUGGUCCUGUUUUGUCUUCGCUACAUUCCUCCUGCUGCAGUGAGAUGGAUGUGAUUUCAUUGGAAUGAAUCCAUAUCCAAACUGGCCUCCCUUGGAGGGCGUUUUUCUGCGCCAGGACAACCCACAGUUGAGCUCGAGGGAGGCCAAAUGCUUGCUGGCAUCAAUCACUCAAAUGCUACAGUGGAAACAUGUCACACUCUUUUGUUCCAGAUAGCAUCAGGUACAUUGACUAUACAUACUGAGACAGAGGGGCGCUGUUUCCCUCGCUUGGAUGAUUUCACCGCUGAGACCCAGCCACUUGCAUAUUCAUAGAAAAUUAUUAAAACAGAGAGACGAAAGAUACAUUAUUUAUAUUUUUUAUUGGUCAUAUAUAUGGGGAAGCCUGGCAUUCCUUGGGAUCCAUGAAUACAUGCCACUUAUCAAAAUAAAGGUAUCUUUCUUCUCUUUCUUGUGAUGUGGUUCUAGGUUUUGAGACGAUGCGUUAAAUGCCCAAUGGAGUUUUAGUGUUCUUAUAGAUGAAAUGGAAAGACAAUGUAUUCCAC
ensembl:lncRNA